ACAGGGAUUGCCCUAGUAACGGCGAGUGAAGCGGCAACAGCUCAAAUUUGAAAUCUGGCGUCUUCGGCGUCCGAGUUGUAAUUUGCAGAGGGCGCUUUGGCAUUGGCAGCGGUCCAAGUUCCUUGGAACAGGACGUCACAGAGGGUGAGAAUCCCGUACGUGGUCGCUAGCCUUUACCGUGUAAAGCCCCUUCGACGAGUCGAGUUGUUUGGGAAUGCAGCUCUAAAUGGGAGGUAAAUUUCUUCUAAAGCUAAAUACUGGCCAGAGACCGAUAGCGCACAAGUAGAGUGAUCGAAAGAUGAAAAGCACUUUGGAAAGAGAGUUAAAAAGCACGUGAAAUUGUUGAAAGGGAAGCGCUUGCAGCCAGACUUGCCUGUAGUUGCUCAUCCGGGUUUUUACCCGGUGCACUCUUCUAUAGGCAGGCCAGCAUCAGUUUGGGCGGUUGGAUAAAGGUCUCUGUCAUGUACCUCUCUUCGGGGAGAACUUAUAGGGGAGACGACAUGCAACCAGCCUGGACUGAGGUCCGCGCAUCUGCUAGGAUGCUGGCGUAAUGGCUGUAAGCGGCCCGUCUUGAAACACGGACCAAGGAGUCUAACAUCUAUGCGAGUGUUUGGGUGUCAAGCCCGAGCGCGUAAUGAAAGUGAACGGAGGUGGGAACCUUUCGGGGUGCACCAUCGACCGAUCCUGAUGUCUUCGGAUGGAUUUGAGUAAGAGCAUAGCUGUUGGGACCCGAAAGAUGGUGAACUAUGCUUGAAUAGGGUGAAGCCAGAGGAAACUCUGGUGGAGGCUCGCAGCGGUUCUGACGUGCAAAUCGAUCGUCAAAUUUGGGCAUAGGGGCGAAAGACUAAUCGAACUAUCUAGUAGCUGGUUCCUGCCGAAGUUUCCCUCAGGAUAGCAGUAACGUUUUCAGUUUUAUGAGGGAAAGCGAAUGAUUAAAGGGCUGGGGGGUGAACCAACCUUCCCCUAUUCCCAAACUUUAAAUAUGUAAGAAGUCCUUGUUACUUAAUUGAACGUGGACAGUUGAAUGUAUCGUUACUAGUGGGCCAUUUUUGGUAAGCAGAACUGGCGAUGCGGGAUGAACCGAACGCGGGGUUAAGGUGCCAGAAUAUACGCUCAUCAGACACCACAAAAGGUGUUAGUUCAUCUAGACAGCAGGACGGUGGCCAUGGAAGUCGGAAUCCGCUAAGGAGUGUGUAACAACUCACCUGCCGAAUGAACUAGCCCUGAAAAUGGAUGGCGCUCAAGCGUGUUACCCAUACCCCGCCGCUGGGGCAGGAUUUAUGCCCCAGCGAGUAGGCAGGCGUGGAGGUCCGUGACGAAGCCUU
rnacentral:rRNA from 1 species